rnacentral:rRNA from 1 species
CCUACGGGAGGCAGCAGUAGGGAAUAUUGGGCAAUGGAGGCAACUCUGACCCAGCCAUGCCGCGUGCAGGAUGAAGGCGUUAUGCGUUGUAAACUGCUUUUAUAUAGGAAGAAAGAGUUCUUGCGAGAACAGUUGACGGUACUAUAUGAAUAAGCACCGGCUAACUCCGUGCCAGCAGCCGCGGUAAUACGGAGGGUGCAAGCGUUGUCCGGAUUUAUUGGGUUUAAAGGGUGCGUAGGCGGUUUAUUAAGUCAGUGGUGAAAGACGGUCGCUCAACGAUUGCAGUGCCAUUGAUACUGGUAGACUUGAGUGAGAUUGAGGUAGCUGGAAUGGAUAGUGUAGCGGUGAAAUGCAUAGAUAUUAUCCAGAACACCAAUUGCGUAGGCAAGUUACUAAGUCUCAACUGACGCUGAGGCACGAAAGUGUGGGUAUCAAACAGGAUUAGAUACCCUGGUAGUCCACACUGUAAACGAUGAUAACUAACUGUUGGCUUUCGGGUCAGUGGUACAGAGAAAUCGUUAAGUUAUCCCACGUGGAGACGCCGCGACGAGAACGUACGAAGAAGUAGAGAGNGAGAGNGCGAGGACGACGACGAGGGAGAGG